GCCUAAUACAUGCAAGUCGAACGCACAGCGAAAGGUGCUUGCACCUUUCAAGUGAGUGGCGAACGGGUGAGUAACACGUGGACAACCUGCCUCAAGGCUGGGGAUAACAUUUGGAAACAGAUGCUAAUACCGAAUAAAACUUAGUGUCGCAUGACACAAAGUUAAAAGGCGCUUCGGCGUCACCUAGAGAUGGAUCCGCGGUGCAUUAGUUAGUUGGUGGGGUAAAGGCCUACCAAGACAAUGAUGCAUAGCCGAGUUGAGAGACUGAUCGGCCACAUUGGGACUGAGACACGGCCCAAACUCCUACGGGAGGCUGCAGUAGGGAAUCUUCCACAAUGGGCGAAAGCCUGAUGGAGCAACGCCGCGUGUGUGAUGAAGGCUUUCGGGUCGUAAAGCACUGUUGUAUGGGAAGAACAGCUAGAAUAGGAAAUGAUUUUAGUUUGACGGUACCAUACCAGAAAGGGACGGCUAAAUACGUGCCAGCAGCCGCGGUAAUACGUAUGUCCCGAGCGUUAUCCGGAUUUAUUGGGCGUAAAGCGAGCGCAGACGGUUUAUUAAGUCUGAUGUGAAAGCCCGGAGCUCAACUCCGGAAUGGCAUUGGAAACUGGUUAACUUGAGUGCAGUAGAGGUAAGUGGAACUCCAUGUGUAGCGGUGGAAUGCGUAGAUAUAUGGAAGAACACCAGUGGCGAAGGCGGCUUACUGGACUGCAACUGACGUUGAGGCUCGAAAGUGUGGGUAGCAAACAGGAUUAGAUACCCUGGUAGUCCACACCGUAAACGAUGAACACUAGGUGUUAGGAGGUUUCCGCCUCUUAGUGCCGAAGCUAACGCAUUAAGUGUUCCGCCUGGGGAGUACGACCGCAAGGUUGAAACUCAAAGGAAUUGACGGGGACCCGCACAAGCGGUGGAGCAUGUGGUUUAAUUCGAAGCAACGCGAAGAACCUUACCAGGUCUUGACAUCCUUUGAAGCUUUUAGAGAUAGAAGUGUUCUCUUCGGAGACAAAGUGACAGGUGGUGCAUGGUCGUCGUCAGCUCGUGUCGUGAGAUGUUGGGUUAAGUCCCGCAACGAGCGCAACCCUUAUUGUUAGUUGCCAGCAUUCAGAUGGGCACUCUAGCGAGACUGCCGGUGACAAACCGGAGGAAGGCGGGGACGACGUCAGAUCAUCAUGCCCCUUAUGACCUGGGCUACACACGGGCUACAAUGGCGUAUACAACAAAUUGC
rnacentral:rRNA from 1 species